rnacentral:rRNA from 1 species
UAGCGUAGGGACCGAGCGUUGUUCCGGAAGUCAAUUGGGCGUAAAGAGCGUGUUAGGCGGCCACUUAAGUCCUGCGUGAAAUCCUGCGGCUCAACCGCAGGCGGUUCGUGGGAAACUGGGUGGCUAGAGUGGCGGGGAGAGGAGAGUGGAAUUCCUGGUGUAGCGGUGGAAUGCGCAGAUAUCAGGGAAGAACACCCCGUGGCGAAGGCGGCUCUCUGGAACGCAACUGGACGCUGAGACGCGAAAGCCGUGGGGAGCAAACAGG